rnacentral:tRNA from 1 species
CGCCAGAUAGCUCAUUUGGUAGAGCAUCUGACUAGCGAUUCAGGGGGCCCGGGUUCGAAUCCCGGUCUGGUCC